rnacentral:rRNA from 1 species
AACGAACGCUGGCGGCAUGCCUAACACAUGCAAGUCGAACGAGACCUUCGGGUCUAGUGGCGCAUGGGUGCGUAACGCGUGGGAACCUGCCCUUAGGUUCGGAAUAACUCCCCGACAGGGGUGCUAAUACCGGAUAAUGUCUUCGGACCAAAGAUUUAUCGCCCUUGGAGGGGCCCGCGUUGGAUUAGCUGGUUGGUAGGGUAAAAGCCUACCAAGGCGACGAUCCAUAGCUGGUCAGAGAGGAUGAUCAGCCACACUGGGACUGAGACACGGCCCAGACUCCUACGGGAGGCAGCAGUGGGGAAUAUUGGACAAUGGGCGAAAGCCUGAUCCAGCAAUGCCGCGUGAGUGAUGAAGGCCUUAGGGUUGUAAAGCUCUUUUACCCGGGAUGAUAAUGACAGUACCGGGAGAAUAAGCACCGGCUAACUCCGUG